rnacentral:rRNA from 1 species
UACAGAGGUCUCAAGCGUUGUUCGGAUUCAUUGGGCGUAAAGGGUGCGUAGGUGGUGACGCAAGUCUGGUGUGAAAUCUCGGAGCUUAACUCCGAAAUUGCACCGGAUACUGCGUAACUCGAGGACUGUAGAGGAGAUCGGAAUUCACGGUGUAGCAGUGAAAUGCGUAGAUAUCGUGAGGAAGACCAGUUGCGAAGGCGGAUCUCUGGGCAGUUCCUGACACUGAGGCACGAAGGCCAGGGGAGCAAGCGGG